GACGAACGCUGGCGGCGUGCUUAACACAUGCAAGUCGAACGGAAAGGCCCUGCUUUUGUGGGGUGCUCGAGUGGCGAACGGGUGAGUAACACGUGAGUAACCUGCCCUUGACUUUGGGAUAACUUCAGGAAACUUGGGCUAAUACCGGAUAGGAGCUCCUGCUGCCUGUUGGGGGUUGGAAAGUUUCGGCGGUUGGGGAUGGACUCGCGGCUUAUCAGCUUGUUGGUGGGGUAGUGGCUUACCAAGGCUUUGACGGGUAGCCGGCCUGAGAGGGUGACCGGCCACAUUGGGACUGAGAUACGGCCCAGACUCCUACGGGAGGCAGCAGUGGGGAAUAUUGCACAAUGGGCGGAAGCCUGAUGCAGCAACGCCGCGUGCGGGAUGACGGCCUUCGGGUUGUAAACCGCUUUCGCCUGUGACGAAGCGUGAGUGACGGUAAUGGGUAAAGAAGCACCGGCUAACUACGUG
rnacentral:rRNA from 1 species